rnacentral:rRNA from 1 species
AGGACGAACGCUGGCGGCGUGCUUAACACAUGCAAGUCGAACGGAAAGGCCCUUCGGGGUACUCGAGUGGCGAACGGGUGAGUAACACGUGGGUGAUCUGCCCUGCACUUUGGGAUAAGCCUGGGAAACUGGGUCUAAUACCGAAUAGGACCACGGGAUGCAUGUCCUGUGGUGGAAAGCUUUUGCGGUGUGGGAUGGGCCCGCGGCCUAUCAGCUUGUUGGUGGGGUGAUGGCCUACCAAGGCGACGACGGGUAGCCGGCCCUGAGAGGGUGUCCGGCCACACUGGGACUGAGAUACGGCCCAGACUCCUACGGGAGGCAGCAGUGGGGAAUAUUGCACAAUGGGCGCAAGCCUGAUGCAGCGACGCCGCGUGGGGGAUGACGGCCUUCGGUUGUAACCCUUUCAGUAGGACGAAGCGCAAGUGACGGUACCUACAGAAGAAGCACCGGCCAACUACGUGCCAGCAGCCGC